GAUAUCUGCAAUGUUAGCACAGUCUAGAAUAUGGAUAAAGUGAUACAAAUGAAACACGAAACAAAGUCUAAAAGGGACAACUGCAGAAGUAUUAUGCAACUUCAAGGAAUAAACUAGCUUCAGCUUAAAUGGUUAGCGAUUGAAGUAUCAAUAUUAGUCAACUAAGUGGGAAAUUCUAUUCUUUUUUCUUUUUUAUAUCAUCUUAAUUUUUACAGAAAACUAUGAUAUAUACCAAGUGCUUGACUUUCUUUUCAAAUACUUCAUUUAUGAUGAUAUGGAAUUUAUUUAGAAGAAGACUGUAGUCAUCUUGAUGAGGUAUUGUGAAUGUCUACAAUUGCUACCAAUGCCUCUCAGAAGAGAAAAUUACAUUAGGUUGUCAAGUUAAUAAUGUAGUUUUGAACUUGCAUAAGAGCUUUGACCAUUUAGACUAAUUCUGAACAUAAUCUUGUUCCCAUAUUGUAGUAUUGAGAUUUUUCUCUAGAAUAAAUAUAUCUUUGAAUUUUCUACAACACUAGCUCCUUAAAGCGCUCAUUACCAGCCAUCUCAUUAUCUUUCUUUCUUCUACUUCAUCUUUUCAGUAUAUAUCUAAUCAUAAAUUUGGUACUCUCUAGGUAAUAUCAAUUAUGGAGAGGACUUUUGGAAGUGUCAUGGGUGAAAUAAUUGAUUGGGUCAAAACCCACCAAAAGAAAAAGCUCAAAGGCCAAGAAGCAAAUUUGAAGAGGGUCAAUUAAGCCUGAGAGGUCGACUACCACAAGUGCCAACCAAAGUUGAGGCCCUUGAGGCGGACCCUCAAGGGUAUUUUGACCAUCCUAUAGGAGUCAACCGAUGGUUGAAAAGACUAUGACUUGAGUCUCGAUCACAAUCACUCAAGAUGGUUUGACCAUGUAAUGGUCCAACCUUGUAACCAUUUCUCAUACUCAAUGCACCACGAGAAUCACGACGUUUUAUAACACUCCAUUAUGAUGAAGGUUUCUCCACCACAUAUAAGUUCAACAAGUCAGAAGAUGGAAAGGCACAACGCGGUUCUCAAUAAUACAAUUUAUUGUUGAUCCGCCAAUCAAAAUCCGGUAUCAACAGAAAACAU